GUCACAUCCUGGGGUUGGAGAAGACCCCAAGGGUUCGACUGUUCGUCGAUUAAAGUGGCACGUGAGCUGGGUUCAGACCGUCGUGAGCCAGGUCGGUCUCUAUCCGGUAUGGGCGUUGUAUAUUUGAAGGAGUUGACCCUUAGUACGAAAGGAUCAGGGUGCGGCAACCUCUGGUGUACCAGUUGUUCUACCAAGAGCAUGGCUGGGUAUCUAAGUUGCUUGAGGAUAAAUACUGAAAGCAUAUAAGUAUGAAACCUUUCCUAAGAUUAAAUAUACUUGUCCCGCUAAUAGAUAAUGUGAGAAUAGUUUCGCAUUAUGUGUUAGCGGGAUGGAAGGUCCGUGGUAGACUACCACGUUGAUAGGCUCUAGGUGUAAGUGUAGUAAUACAUUUAGCCGAGGAGUACUAAUAGACCAAAAGCUUUAUUUUU
rnacentral:rRNA from 1 species